UACGUAGGGGGCAAGCGUUAUCCGGAUUUACUGGGUGUAAAGGGAGCGUAGACGGCGGUGCAAGCCAGAUGUGAAAGCCCGGGGCUCAACCCCGGGACUGCAUUUGGAACUGUGCUGCUAGAGUGUCGGAGAGGCAGGCGGAAUUCCUAGUGUAGCGGUGAAAUGCGUAGAUAUUAGGAGGAACACCAGUGGCGAAGGCGGCCUGCUGGACUGCAACUGACGUUGAGGCCCGAAAGCGUGGGGAGCAAACAGG
rnacentral:rRNA from 1 species